GUUUUAAUGAUAUUAUUAUUUUGAAAAAAAAUUAUUUUUGGUCUGGAUUGGGAUGGUAUGGAUAGAGAUAAUGGUCUACGCUAGCAGACAUUUCUACAACCAUAUUCGACUUCAUCUCCUUUCUCAGAUUCUUUCUUUGUUGUUGUGUCCAUGAAUCCACUCUUAUUAGCUUCUUUUUCUUGCAAUACUACAUCUGCUUCUGCUGUUACUUAAACUGCUACAACCUCUGCUAUUGACCUUAACAAUUCUUCAUAUGUUACUACUUGGGUUGCAUAAACUAGAUUUUGCAAGAAGUUGGUGAUGUAUACAGUAAAGGGUAAAACUUUAAAACAUUCACAUGGUUAUGGGUUCUUGAUUUUCUGUUCUUCUUGUUGUUUGAUUUUGGGAAUUUAUGGACUCUUAGUAGACUAGAUUUUCCCGUCAGAGGUUUCUGAUUUCAUAACUGACGUUCGAAUCUCUGUUGGUCUUUUUCGUGUUCUGGGUUUUGGGUGAUGGUGGUGGCUACAAGGAUAAAAACAGACUUCUGUUUGGAAUUAGAAACUCAGAAUCUAUGUAUUCUAUGAUUCUCUCUUGUGGGUGUGUGUGAAUUUCUUAUCUUCAAUUUUUGGGUUGUUUCCUGCGCUCUAUCUGAAUUUCUAGCUCCUGUUAGUGGAUAAGAUAGCAUCUUCUCUCAUAUCACUUCUCCUUUUCGAUUUCACUUGUUUACAGUGAAUUUGGAGUUUGGUGGAAUUUGUUCCUCCUUAUUUCUUGUGCCUCUUUUGUUUUUGCUGGACAGUUUCUGUAGAUUUGAUAGCUGGUCUCUCUCUCUCUUUCUCUCUUUCCCCAACACCACACCCCCCUCCCCCCCUCUUUAUGUUUUCUAACUGGAAUUAGCAGUAACACUCACUUCAGCUUGGUACUGUUUCUUGGUAGCUUGCGUUGGCUACUGUUUUGGAUGAGUUUGCUCCAUGUAUUUGGGUUUGGUUUAAAGGUGGGGCAUCUACUUUGGAUGCUAUGUUGCUGGAUUGUAUCAGUAAUUUCCAUGAACUGGUUCAUUAAUGGUGGAAUUGUGGAGAGCAAGACUGGUUUGCUUGGUGAUGGUGGCAAGAUGUGGCUCAGGUUCUGGGAGAAGAUCUCAGGGAAUAGUUGCAAGAUGCACCAUCACUACUACCAGUAUUUUGGGUCGAAGAGAGUUAGAAAAACAUGGUGGAGAAGGCUCUUGGUGGCAUGGGUAAUUGGCUGGAUCAUGGUCUCUUUAUGGAUCUUAUGGUACAUGAGCUCACAAGCCACUGAGAAGAGGAAAGAGACACUUUCAAGCAUGUGUGAUGAGAGGGCCAGGAUGCUACAGGAUCAGUUUAAUGUGAGCAUGAACCAUGUGCAGGCCAUGUCCAUUUUAAUCUCAACCUUUCACCAUGGCAAGAACCCUUCCGCUAUUGAUCAGGUUACUAGAUCUCCUUUCAUAUCUUAGCUAGGUACUAAGUCUGCUAGAAAAUGAUAAUUCUCCAUACGCAAUCCUUAAUUGCCUGACUAUUUUGUUGUUUCUGCUCAAGAAUGUGAACUUGAUGUCGGUAUUGUAAUUUGCAAACUAGCCUUGAUCCAUUAGCUCACUGCCUCACUCAAUUAGAUUAACGUAGUUAAUCUGCAUCUGCCUGUAAUUCUCUAAUUUCAGUGGAUAAUUCUGUUUCUUUUGGGUUUCUUUUAAACGAGAAAUCAAUUUAUAAUCUUAAAUUUGCUGAUUUUACUUGUGGUUUCCAUUUUUGAAUAUUAAAGCUUAAUCCAGAAGCAGAUCUGGGUUCUUUUGUCUAUAGUCACUAUCAUCCAGUCAAAAACACAAUCUAACUUUCAGAAUUUAUAGAGGACUUUUGCAAGGUACACAGAAAGAACUGCUUUUGAGAGACCCCUCACAAGUGGUGUGGCAUAUGCUGUAAGGGUGCACCACUCUGAAAGGGAACAAUUUGAGAGACAACAAGGCUGGACGAUUAAGAGGAUGGAUACCCUUGAGCAAAAUCCAGUUCAUAAAGAUGACUAUAUCCCAGAGUUACUGGAGCCAUCCCCAAUUCAAGAAGAAUAUGCCCCUGUCAUCUUUGCACAGGAUACCAUUUCACAUGUGGUUUCUCUUGAUAUGCUGUCUGGAAAAGAAGACCGUGAAAAUGUGUUACGUGCUAGAGAAUCAGGAACAGGGGUUCUGACUGCUCCUUUUAGGUUACUCAAAACUAAACGCCUUGGAGUUAUAUUGACAUUUGCUGUCUACAAGAGAGAUAUCCCCUCAAAUGCGACUCCAAAUGAGAGGAUUCAAGCGACUGACGGGUAUCUUGGAGGAGUCUUUGAUAUCGAAUUGCUUGUGGAAAAGCUACUGCAACAACUUGCAAGUGAACAAACUAUCAUAGUGGAUGUGUAUGACACUACUAAUCAAUCUCACCCCAUCAGCAUGUAUGGCUCAAAUGUAUCAGAUGAUGGGUUGCAACAUGUUAGCUCUCUUAAUUUUGGAGAUCCCCAUAGAAAGCAUGAGAUGCAUUGCAGAUUCAAACAAAAGCCACCAUGGCAAUGGUUAGCAAUAACAACUUCAUUUGGGGUUCUUGUGAUUGCAUUGCUUAUUGGACAUAUUUUCCACGCGACUGUAAAUCGAAUUGCCAAAGUUGAAGAUGAUUAUCAUGAAAUGAUGGAGCUUAAAAAACGAGCAGAGGCAGCUGAUAUUGCAAAAUCUCAGUUUCUGGCUACAGUUUCCCAUGAGAUCAGAACCCCAAUGAAUGGUGUUCUAGGAAUGUUACAUAUGCUUAUGGACACAGAUCUAGAUGUAACUCAACGAGAUUAUGUCAGAACUGCACAAGCCAGUGGAAAAGCUCUUGUCUCAUUAAUCAAUGAGGUUUUAGAUCAAGCAAAAAUUGAAUCUGGUAAGCUUGAGCUUGAGGAUGUGCAGUUCAAUCUACGGGCAAUAUUGGAUGAUGUAUUAUCACUCUUUUCUGACAA
rnacentral:misc_RNA from 1 species